rnacentral:rRNA from 1 species
CCUACGGGAGGCAGCAGUGAGGAAUAUUGGUCAAUGGGCGCGAGCCUGAACCAGCCAAGUAGCGUGACGGAUGACUGCCAUACGGGUUGUAAACUUCUUUUAUAAAGGAAUAAAGUGAGGCACGCGUGCAUUUUUGAAUGUACUUUAUGAAGAAGGAUCGGCUAACUCCGAGCCAGCAGCCGCGGUAAUACGGAGGAGACGAGCGUUAUCGGGAUUUAUUGGGUUUAAAGGGAGCGUAGAUGGGUUGUUAAGUCAGUUGUGAAAGUUUGCGGCUCAACCGUAAAAGUGCAAUUGAUACUGGCAGUCUUGAGUACAGGUGAGGUAGGCGGAAUUCGUUGUGUAGCGGUGAAAUGCUUAGAUAUCACGAAGAACUCCGAUUGCGAAGGCAGCUUACUAAACUGCCACUGACAUUGAUGCUCGAAAGUGUGGGUAUCAAACAGGAUUAGAUACCCUAGUAGUC